CCUACGGGAGGCAGCAGUGGGGGAUAUUGCACAAUGGGGGAAACCCUGAUGCAGCGACGCCGCGUGGGUGAAGAAGCGCCUCGGCGCGUAAAGCCCUGUCAGCAGGGAAGAAAAUGACGGUACCUGCAAAGGAAGCACCGGCUAAUUCCGUGCCAGCAGCCGCGGUCAUACGGAGGGUGCGAGCGUUAAUCGGAAUUACUGGGCGUAAAGCGCUCGUAGGCGGUAUGUCAAGUCAAGGGUGAAAUCCCCGCGCUCAACGUGGGAACUGCUGUUGAAACUGGCAGACUGGAGUGUGUUAGAGGAUAGUAGAAUUCCAGGUGUAGGAGUGAAAUCCGUAGAGAUCUGGAGGAACAUCAGUGGCGAAGGCGACUAUCUGGCACAUAACUGACGCUGAGGAGCGAAAGCGUGGGUAGCAAACAGGAUUAGAUACCCUUGUAGUC
rnacentral:rRNA from 1 species